GCCAAAAACAUGGCGGAUUUCCAAGGAUUUUCACGUUUGCUGACGCCAGAAUGACGCCACUGGUCCCAAAUCCUCGUGGUAAUUACCACUGACCAACCGCGAUCCUCGGUUUCAGACGACAAUUUCACCCCCCUGGUUUUUGCACAAAAAAGCUGAAACUCUGCUGAAAAUUUUAUAUAAAAAACAUCAAGAAAAAAUGCCGAGUUUUUGCAUGGCUUCAUGAUGCCACAAUUCUUUAAUAUCAAGAAGAAACACUUCUUUUUACCGGUAAGAUGUAUAUUAAACUCUUUCUCUGUGCUUCAUUUGUACUAAAUUCUGUUUUUUAAAAGAAAAAAUUGGAUACGAAAUUUACAAAUAUAACGACGCUGUACAGCAGCUGGUGUUAUUCUGCCUUUAUCACUUUUCGUUGUGUUUUAUUUUGCCAUUUGGGUAGGUUAUAGUUUUUGUUUUCCUCUGGAGUCCUUACCCAAAGAUCCAACAGCCCCAACAUCAAUUUUCACAUACAGUAUUGUAAUAGAAAUGCCUUUAUAAGGCUUAAAAUGAUGGACAAGUGUCAAGCAGUGUCAAGUCACAAAUGCCAUGGUGUCAAUAGUCGAACUUAUCCUGGGGUUUUAAUAUAUUGUCAUAAGAGGCCCAAUAUAUGGUUGUAAUGGGCACAAAAAAGAUCAAAACUGUUCCUAACAAGUGUCUCGAGCUGUAGGAGUAUAAAGUGUUGAAUAAAAGCUUGCAAGGCUCACACUACAAUUUUGAGUUGUGAUUUUAACAGACAAUUUUAAUCUUCUUUCAUGGCUAACAUAGGAGGCAUCUCUGCGAAGGUUCCAAUAGAUAGUUGUACAAGUAAAGUUUUAGUUCAUAUAUAAAAAGGCCAGCAAAUAGACAUGAAUUUUUCUUGACGAAUAUGAAUUUAUGGAUAGUACAUGGGUGGGGAUGCUUAUUUCACAACACUCUAAUUUCUAUGUCUGAAAGAUCGACAUAUUUUAAUAUUUGAAAUGGGAAAAAAAAUAAUAUAAUGUUCAAUAGCAUGUAGAUCAAAUUAUAUACAUAAUAUAGUAGAUGACUGAUUGGAUGUAUUCUAUUACACUUUUCCAGAUGCCAAGAAAAAUCCUGAGAUGUGUUGAAAACUUGAAGAAUGCCCUGGUUAAAUUUUAUGCCACAAAGGGAAUCACCUUUGUUCAAAGCAAUUAGUAUAAUAUUCCAUUCAUCCAUCCAUCGAGGGGCAGCACUCUCCACUUGAUGAGUAAAAUCAUCUGGCGUUAGACAGAGUAAAAUACUCUGGCAUAAGACAGAGUAAAAUACUAAAAGUAGGGCACAUCAGGGUGCAGGUCAACUCAUUCAGCACUCUCCCCUUCACAAAUAAAAUUUGCCAUUAGACAGAAUAAUAAAGUAGGGUGCAUUGUGUUGCAUUCAGACUUAUCAAAGGCUUAACAGGAUGCAUAGACGC